rnacentral:rRNA from 1 species
UACGUAGGGUGCGAGCGUUGUCCGGAAUUAUUGGGCGUAAAGGGCUCGUAGGCGGUCUGUCACGUCGGGAGUGAAAACCCGGAGCUCAACUCCGGGCCUGCAGUCGAUACGGGCGGACUUGAGUGUUGCAGGGGAGACUGGAAUUCCUGGUGUAGCGGUGAAAUGCGCAGAUAUCAGGAGGAACACCGGUGGCGAAGGCGGGUCUCUGGGCAACUACUGACGCUGAGGAGCGAAAGCGUGGGGAGCGAACAGG